CGAAAUGUUGAUGCACCACUGGUCCAAAAUUAAAUCUUUUUAGUGAUUUUGGUUCCUAUCCACUUAAAAAGACAAUUAUACCCUUUAUAUUUGUUUUUCUUAUUUUAAAUAAUUAAAAAUUAGAGAAUGACUCUCUCUCUCUCUCUCUCUCUCUCUCUCUCUCUCUCUCUCUCUCUCUCUCUCUCUCUCUCUCUCUCUCUCUCUCUCUCUCUCUCUCUCUCUCUCGUGAAGAAUACAAAUUAUCAUCUUCUACCCCUUUAUCAGUGUCGUCGUAGCCGUCCCCGGUGAUGGAAGAUGUUAGGCGUCAUCCCCCGCCUCAUUCCCCCAAAAUCCAUUGGUGAAAAUCCCCAUUUUUCAGUGGAUCGAUCCACAACAUGUGUAUGAAAAUAGAAGAUGCAAACAUGUUUGAUUUCCCACUUCUCUGCCAUCAAAUCGUCAGCCACCACCAGAUGCAAACUGCGAUUUGUUUUCUCUCCAUUACCCUUCCAGCUUGCCCUUGAACCGAUAGUCGGUGAGGAAGAAGAUGAUGUGGUGGUUGGUGUGAUCUACAAAGUGGAUGGAUGGAAGGCGUUUCCGAGGGAGCAAUUUAAGCAGCAACAGUCGUGCAGGGGAGGGCUUUCGACAGUGGUGCUCAAACGGAGGAGGUGAGGUAUGCGAGGGGUGGCACCGGUGAUGAUGGGGACUACCCACCACAGCAACGGUGACGAGCGGUGGUUGCAUAUCAGUUCUGCUGCUUCUGUCUUUCCAAUGAUUGACAAGGAAGAGAAACAGUAACAACAGUGGAUGGUUGUGGAGAUGUUCAAGGUUGGGCUUGGUCGACCAAAAUAGUGGCGGCAGUGGGUGGUGUCGGGCAGUAGGAAGUGGUGGAGUGUGACCGGAGCAAGGCGGAGGAGGGUCGGUAGUCACUGAUCGUCGGUGAAUCAAGAACUUGAGGGGGAGUAGGUUGUAAUGUUGUAUGAAGUCAGAUAUGAGAGAGAGAGGGAGGUUAUUUUCUUUUUAUUUUUUAAUGAAAAUAAUAAUAAAAUGCUAAAAAUAAAUAAAAAAGAAUUAUCAAA